ensembl:rRNA 5S_rRNA 5S ribosomal RNA
GCUUACGGCCACACCGGCCUGAGUAUGCCUGAUCUCGUCCGAUCUUGGAAGCUAAGCAGGGUCGGGCCUGGUUAGUACUUGGAUGGGAGACCGCCUGGGAAUACCAGGUGCUGUAAGCU